rnacentral:lncRNA from 12 species
CACAACGGGGAAGCAAUGCCCAAAGUAUGUCAUGUCUUGGAUUUCAAGCCAACUCACUGAAAUCGAGUAAAGAUGAGGAAAGAGAAGUUUCUGUUUGUGCUCCAAUGUCCUCAUCACUCACCACAUAGUUCUGCUGAUGGGAAAGAGAGGCUGCCGGAAGGAAACAGAAGUUCAUCAAGGGCUGGCAAAAUAUUAAUCUGGAAGCUCACGGAUGGGCAGUGAUGCGGGCUCUCCGGCAGCGGGCGUCCCCUUCAUGGUCAUGCUACCUGUGGGCUGGACGAGCCCACCACCCCGUCCUUGCAAGGGGGCGGGGGGCACUCACCGUGACGCACCACUCAUCCUCUGUUCUAGAUCUACCUCCACAUUACUUUCUGAGACACGAGGCCGGGAGGGGAAUGGAGACAGAAAGGGAGCAGCAGAGUUCAGCAAGAAGCACAGAUGUUUGUUCGUUUUAAGAAUGCUACGGGGUGUUAUGAUAUGUACAGGGAAGCGACAGAGGGACACAUCUGCCGGCGGAAAGCAAUAACGGACAAUUUCAACAAAUCUCAAAAUCUUAUCCUGGACACUCCUGUUGCCUUCAGCUGUUCAGACAUCUGUGGAAAUCAUCAAAGACAGGAGGAGACAGGAAGAAGUGAAAUGCACAUUUUUUGGUAAGCAGCAUUGGAGGGUAUGAAAAGGAUAAAAAAAAAAAAAAAAAGGAAAACAAAGGAAACGUCCAGUUUAAAACGGGCAUUACCUUCAAGAGAUAGUUCAUCUCACUGAGAAAACUGGGCAUGUGUGCACGAAGAAGUAAUAAUUUAGGGUAACAAUUCCAGAAAAGUCAAAGCCCUAUUCUUUCAACUUUUCUAAGGGUAAUAAAUAAACAAGUUACAAGCA